UACGAAGGGGGCUAGCGUUGUUCGGAAUCACUGGGCGUAAAGCGCACGUAGGCGGCUUGUUAAGUCAGAGGUGAAAGCCUGGAGUUCAACUCCAGAACUGCCUUUGAUACUGGCAAGCUCGAGUAUGGCAGAGGUUGGUGGAACUCCGAGUGUAGAGGUGAAAUUCGUAGCUAUACGGAAGAACACCAGUGGCGAAGGCGGCCAACUGGGCAAGUACUGACGGUGAGUUGCGAAGUCGUGGUGAGCAAACAGG
rnacentral:rRNA from 1 species